rnacentral:rRNA from 1 species
GACGAACCGUACGAACGUUAUUCGGAAUUACUGGGCUUAAAGGGUGCGUAGGCUGCGCAGUAAGUUGGGUGUGAAAUCCCUCGGCUUAACCGAGGAACUGCGCCCAAAACUACUGUGCUCGAGGGAGACAGAGGUGAGCGGAACUUAGGGUGGAGCGGUGAAAUGCGUUGAUAUCCUAAGGAACACCUGUGGCGAAAGCGGCUCACUGGGUCUCUUCUGACGCUGAGGCACGAAAGCUAGGGUAAAGAACGGG